ACCGCGUUAAACGUAGGCGAAAUUCGUGCUACAGUUAUAGCCCGUGUCGUAAUUAUCUGCUCCGCAUCAUUUGACUAUCCGCCGUGUGUAGAGUAAGCCGCAAAGUGAGGUGUUAACCGGAUAACACACAUUUUAAUUAGAAAACUGGAAACUUUUUUAAAAAUCGUUUUGUAGAAUAAUAUAGUUUUGUGAUAUUGUUAUUUUCAUUUGGUGUGAAAUAUUUAUACUCUUCAAGAUGUGAUGCGCUUCUUUAAAGCUGUCAGUCGGUGCUGCCGACUUCAAACAGAUGACCGCAAUUCCUCGGACAGGAAUCUUAGUUUGAUGAUGUAUUUGAUCUGACAAAAUAUACAUGUACAUAACUAAAUAGGUAA